CCGGAGAAUGUCCGGAGAAUGUUAUCACGGGAGACACACGGCGGGUGCUAACGUCCGUCGUGAAGAGGGAAACAACCCAGACCGCCAGCUAAGGUCCCAAAGUCAUGGUUAAGUGGGAAACGAUGUGGGAAGGCCCAGACAGCCAGGAUGUUGGCUUAGAAGCAGCCAUCAUUUAAAGAAAGCGUAAUAGCUCACUGGUCGAGUCGGCCUGCGCGGAAGAUGUAACGGGGCUAAACCAUGCACCGAAGCUGCGGCAGCGAACGUAUCACUUAAAGCGAUUCAGCGGAUGACGAUUGACGGAGCGAAGCGACGUCAAAGCGUAUACAAAGUCGAGUCGGUUUAAGGAUACGUUCGUUGGGUAGGGGAGCGUUCUGUAAGCCUGCGAAGGUGGCCUGUGAGGGUUGCUGGAGGUAUCAGAAGUGCGAAUGCUGACAUAAGUAACGAUAAAGCGGGUGAAAAGCCCGCUCGCCGGAAGACCAAGGGUUCCUGUCCAACGUUAAUCGGGGCAGGGUGAGUCGACCCCUAAGGCGAGGCCGAAAGGCGUAGUCGAUGGGAAACGGGUUAAUAUUCCCGUACUUGGUGUUACUGCGA
rnacentral:rRNA from 1 species